ACUCCUGCGGGAGGCAGCAGUGGGGAAUUUUGGACAAUGGGCGAAAGCCUGAUCCAGCAAUGCCGCGUGAGUGAAGAAGGCCUUCGGGUUGUAAAGCUCUUUUGUCAGGGAAGAAACGGUGAGAGCUAAUAUCUUUUGCUAAUGACGGUACCUGAAGAAUAAGCACCGGCUAACUACGUGCCAGCAGCCGCGGUAAUACGUAGGGUGCAAGCGUUAAUCGGAAUUACUGGGCGUAAAGCGUGCGCAGGCGGUUUUGUAAGUCUGAUGUGAAAUCCCCGGGCUCAACCUGGGAAUUGCAUUGGAGACUGCAAGGCUAGAAUCUGGCAGAGGGGGGUAGAAUUCCACGUGUAGCAGUGAAAUGCGUAGAUAUGUGGAGGAACACCGAUGGCGAAGGCAGCCCCCUGGGUCAAGAUUGACGCUCAUGCACGAAAGCGUGGGGAGCAAACAGGAUUAGAAACCCCGGUAGUCCCAUGA
rnacentral:rRNA from 1 species